UGCUCGGCGCCUGCGCACUAGCCGGAAGCCGCUGACCGGCCCGCCGCAAGCGGCGGUAGAGGGCCCCACGCGUGCCUGGGGAAUGGCGGGAAGCCGAAGAGGCUCGAGGCUCGGGCAUGCGCACACAGUCAACUGCCUACCGGGUGUGCGAGAAGCCCCCUUGUCUUGUGUGAGGAGGGCGUCCCCUGAGACUGGGUUCUGGAGCCUAGAGAAACAGCUCUAAAUUCUCAGCGACAGAAAAAGCAGACCUCAAACCCUCCCUUUCCAUCCUGCUCCUCCUCCUCUCCUCCUAGAGCACAGGACCAGCUGUGGCCCUGAGAGACACCCUCUUCUCAGCCCUCAGAGAGACGGUCCAGCCUUUCCAGGAGGGAUAGACCUCUGGGCUGAGGCCACCAUGGCCGGCCCUUCGGACUACUUGGCCCUCACGGGAGCCCCCAGCUUCUGGAUUGGGGCUGCACGGCCUCCCCUCAGGCUGCUUCAACAAGUAGCCCCUCAUUCCAUGGAUGAGACUCGCCUGCCCGCUCCGGCCUGACCGGAUGGGGCCUGAGCGCCGAGGAGCUGGAACCCCCUCCGCCCCACCCCAGGGGCACGGCCGCCUGCGUCAGAGGAGUGGGCAGUGAUGGCGGCCGGUGGAGCCUGGGGCCCAGCCGCCUCCGAUACGGCUCCACGCAACUCUCCCUUCAUCCAGCCUUAACCUUGCCCGGGACUUCGGCAGACCGCGCAGCCCCUCUCCCACGGCCCAGUUCCUCUCCCACGGCACCCUUCCUGAGAAGAUAACCUCCAGGCCAUCGAGCCCAGCUGAACUCCGCCUCUCGGGGUGAAGGGGACGGCAUGGCAGAGGAGCGGGUGCCUUCCUGCCCGCCCGUGGCCGACCUGGAGAGCUCAAAUAUAGCCGAGGCAGGUAUUUUCCACCUAGUGGGCAUGGAAAGGCCACGGGGAUGAGAAAACUGAGGUCCAGAGAGAACAAAUGGAAUGCCCAAGUUCACAAAGAGAUAUUUGACAUCUCUGGAAGUAUUUUGAUUGUUGGAUCUGUGGACGAACUAUUGGUAACCACUGGAUAGUGGCCAGGGUCCAGCAAUAAACAGGACAAUCCCCUACAACAAAGAAUUAUCUGGUCCAAAAUAAUUUCCCUCAGCUAACCUGGCGGUAUAAACCAGUGGUGUCCUUCUGAUUUGUGGUCACACCCUUGGCAAAACCAGUCUUCGAGCUACUGAGCCACAGGCAGCCAAGAUAAUCACCGAUAAAUAUGCCAUCUGCUGACAAAUCAACUUUUGAUUAAUUAAAAGUAGUUUUUCAUGACAUUAAUUAUGCCUGUUUAUUUUCUCUCUUAUUUGCACACUCCAAGAGGCCCAGGGUUUCAUUUGGUUAGUUAAUACUAGAGGUUAGUGUAGGUCACUUGUUCUCAAGGAGGAGGGAUCUUACCAGCACCUCUCCCCUUCCUCUAGGAUACGCAGCAUUGUCUCCAGAAAAUCUCUUUACACCAGGGGUGGAGAGUUCUCCUGGCAUCUGGUGGGUGGAGGCUGGCAUGGUGCUAAUUAUCCUAUGGUAUAUCAGAUGGCCCCCAACAGGAGAUACUAGGCCACGAUCAGGGAUGAGGAGACAGAGCCCUUCUGUGUGCCCAUCACCCAGCCUUCCCAGGAGGCUUCCCCUCACUCUGCUCUUCCCCGUCUCUCCAGACUCUGCCCCUCUAGCCAGCCCCCCUCCUCCUGCAGCUUCACUGCCAGUCCUUGUGAACCUGAACGUGCCUUUGGUUCAAGGUCAGCCCUAAUCCCUCAACUCGUCUGGCUCCUUUUUGUUAUUUUUUUAUUGUAAUUCCAAUGCAGUUAACAUACACUGUUGUAUUAGUUUCAGGUGUACAAUACAGUGAUUCAGCAGUUCCAUAUAUCACUCAGUGCUCAUCAUGAUAAGUGUACUCUCGAUCCCCUCCACCUGUUUCAUCCAUCCCCCCACCCACCUCGCCUCUGGUAACCAUCAGUUUGUUCUCUAUAGUUAGGAAUCUGGGCUUUUUUGGUUUGCCUCUUUUUUCCCCUCUUUGCUUGUUUGUUUCGUUUCUUAAAUUCCACAUAUGAAUGAAAUCAUAUGGUUAUUUGUCUUUCUCUGACUGGCUUAUUUGGCUUAGCACAAUAUUCUCUAUAUCCAUCCAUGUUGUUGCAAAUGGCAUGAUUUCAUUCCUUUCUGUGAC